UACAUGGGGUGCAAACGUUGCUCGGAAUUAUUGGGCGUAAAGCGCACGUAGGCGGCUUUGCAAGUUAGAGGUGAAAGCCCGGGGCUCAACCCCGGAAUUGCCUUUAAAACUGCAUCGCUAGAAUUGUGGAGAGGUAAGUGGAAUUCCGAGUGUAGAGGUGAAAUUCGUAGAUAUUCGGAAGAACACCAGUGGCGAAGGCGACUUACUGGACACAUAUUGACGCUGAGGUGCGAAAGCGUGGGGAGCAAACAGG
rnacentral:rRNA from 1 species